rnacentral:misc_RNA from 1 species
AUGGGGUUUCUCGACAAGUACAGAGACAGUCUUUCCGUGUGGAUGGCCGGCCGUGCAUCGCUGGCGCGCAUGUCUGCCUUUGAUGUAGCCCAACGUAUUGUGUCGUGCUCCUCUCAUAGAGACGUCCUGCGUCUCUCCCAGCGGGGGGCCCUUGUCGCGCGAUUUCACACAAAGCGCUUUUCCCGCGCAGGCCCUUCGCAUUCACUCCGAAAAGGCAAGUGGGCCUGUCUCUGCCUCGGAGGCGCCGUCCAUUGUCGCGGCUUUUGCGAUGCUGGUGGGUGCGCGUGACCGCCUCUUGCAGCUGCUUCCGCUGUCGAAGAGCUUGUGGGAAGAUGUGACGGUACUCUCGUUUCUAUUCGGUACGGAUGUCGCGGCAGUGUAGACCGUGUGUGACACCACCGCGGUGACGAUAGUUCGGCGUCUGCUGGCGGGUGCACCGAGCGUGAGGCAGGUGUCUGCGCCUCGCAUUGGCUGCCUGGGGCGGAAGGCUCGCCGCCAGCGCCGGCACUUUUUGCUUCGGCGUGCCAGACGCUCGGGUGCCUGUGAGCGCUGUCGCAGGAGGACGUCGAGGCACAAGAGCGCGUGUGCUCGCAUUGCCGGGCUCAGCUGCGCCAAUGCACCACGCUCGGAUGCCUACGCAUGGUCCAGGGAGCGGCGCGCUGCUCAGAGCACGGAGAGUAGCGCUGGCCACACGCGUAUCGUCUCCCUGCAGACGCGUUGCGUGCACCGAGGGCAAGCAGCAAAGUGCGCUAUAGCAUCCGCCCUCUUGCUCAACUACGCCCCGCCCCGCGCGCAUGCACCCGUGUGAGGAAAGGAGAAGAAGCCAGGUGACAUGCGUGUGGGCUCAACGACUUCCGAUCUUCCCUACUUCUCUGUUAGGAAGGCCUCCUUUCUCCUUGUG